UACAGAGGGUGCAAGCGUUGUUCGGAAUUAUUGGGGCGUAAAGCGCGUGUAGGCGGCUUUGCAAGUCGGGGUGUGAAAGCCCUCAGCUCAACUGAGGAAGUGCGCCCGAAACUGCAGAGCUUGAGUACCGGAGAGGAUGGUGGAAUUCCCCAAGUAGAGGUGAAAUUCGUAGAUAUGGGGGAGGAACACCGGUGGCGAAGGCGACCAUCUGGACGGAUACUGACGCUGAGACGCGAAAGCGUGGGUAGCAAACAGG
rnacentral:rRNA from 1 species